rnacentral:lncRNA from 1 species
AUUAUCAAGUCAUCACCUUUUCACGAGGAGUUGGUGUCGCUAUGGUGAUUCAAUUGAUAACACAAUAUAUGUAAAGCAAAGCAGAAACUGCAAAUGCAACAACGUAACUAACGGCUCUAUCAGAAAAGACAAAAUCUGCGAAAUACGAAAAUUGGAAGCCAGAAACACACGUCUAUACACCCAUAAUACAAUAAAGUGUUACAUAUUUCAGAGGAGUAGAAUAACAGAACGACAAGGAAGUUCGUAUUAAAACAUUUUAAAUUAGCAAAGGGAAAACAUAAGAGUAUGGAAAAGAGAAAUCGACCAAAGAAACACAGAACCAUUGAUAUGUAUGCUGUGCAAGCAUCGUACGCUGAAAUUUGCCGCCAGGAACAGAUACGUGAACUAGGAGGUACCAACAAAUGGAAAGAGACAUUAGGCGAAUUUGCGGAUUUCUCUAACCGGAAGAGACUUGUGUCUGAAUUACAAGAAGAGUCACGAGUAUGCAGC